CCUACGGGUGGCAGCAGUUAGGAAUAUUCGGCAAUGGGGGAAACCCUGACCGAGCAAUGCCGCGUGUGAGAUGAAGGCCCUAUGGGUUGUAAAUCACUUUUAUUUGGGAAGAACUGUAAGUAGAGGAAAUGAUACUUACUUGACGGUACCUUUUGAAUAAGCCCCGGCUAACUACGUGCCAGCAGCCGCGGUAAUACGUAGGGGGCGAGCGUUAUCCGGGUUUAUUGGGCGUAAAGCGUGCGUAGGCGGUUUGUUAAGUCCAGAAUUAAAGCCCGAGGCUUAACCUCGGUUCGUUCUGGAAACUGGCAGACUAGAGUACAGUUGAGGUAGGCGGAAUUCGUGGUGUAGCGGUGAAAUGCUUAGAUAUCACGAAGAACUCCGAUUGCGAAGGCAGCUUACUAAACUGCCACUGACAUUGAUGCUCGAAAGUGUGGGUAUCAAACAGGAUUAGAUACCCUUGUAGUC
rnacentral:rRNA from 1 species